rnacentral:rRNA from 1 species
AAUGGGCGAAAGCCUGAUGCAGCAACGCCGCGUGAGCGAUGAAGGCCUUCGGGUCGUAAAGCUCUGUCCUUGGGGAAGAAAAAAAUGACGGUACCCUUGGAGGAAGCCCCGGCUAACUACGUGCCAGCAGCCGCGGUAAUACGUAGGGGGCGAGCGUUAUCCGGAAUUAUUGGGCGUAAAGAGUGCGUAGGUGGUUACCUAAGCGCAGGGUUUAAGGCAAUGGCUCAACCAUUGUAUGCCUUGCGAACUGGGCUACUUGAGUGCAGGAGAGGAAAGCGGAAUUCCUAGUGUAGCGGUGAAAUGCGUAGAUAUUAGGAGGAACACCAGUGGCGAAGGCGGCUUUCUGGACUGUAACUGACACUGAGGCACGAAAGCGUGGGGAGCAAA